UACGUAGGGGGCAAGCGUUGUCCGGAUUUAUUGGGCGUAAAGAGCGUGUAGGCGGCCAGACAGGUCCGUUGUGAAAACUAGAGGCUUAACCUCUAGACGUCGAUGGAAACCGUCUGGCUAGAGUCCGGAAGAGGAGAAUGGAAUUCCUGGUGUAGCGGUGAAAUGACGCAGAUAUCAGGAAGAACACCCGUGGCUAAGGCGGUUCUCUAGUACGGUACUGACGCUGAGACGCGAAAGCGUGGGGAGCGAACAGG
rnacentral:rRNA from 1 species